UAAGUGAAGAGUUUGAUCCUGGCUCAGAGUGAACGCUGGCGGUAGGCCUAACACAUGCAAGUCGAACGGCAGCACAGGAGAGCUUGCUCUCUGGGUGGCGAGUGGCGGACGGGUGAGGAAUACAUCGGAAUCUACUCUGUCGUGGGGGAUAACGUAGGGAAACUUACGCUAAUACCGCAUACGACCUACGGGUGAAAGCAGGGGAUCUUCGGACCUUGCGCGAUUGAAUGAGCCGAUGUCGGAUUAGCUAGUUGGUGGGGUAACGGCCCACCUAGGCGACGAUCCCUAGCUGGUCUGAGAGGAUGACCAGCCACACUGGAACUGAGACACGGUCCAGACUCCUACGGGAGGC
rnacentral:rRNA from 1 species